CACACCGCCCGUCACACCAUGGGAGUUGGCUUUACCCGAAGGUGGUGCGCUAACCAGCAAUGGAGGCAGCCAACCACGGUAGGGUCAGCGACAGGGGUG
rnacentral:rRNA from 1 species